rnacentral:rRNA from 1 species
GUGGGGAAUAUUGGACAAUGGGCGAAAGCCUGAUCCAGCCAUGCCGCGUGUGUGAAGAAGGUCUUCGGAUUGUAAAGCACUUUAAGUUGGGAGGAAGGGCAGUAAGUUAAUACCUUGCUGUUUUGACGUUACCGACAGAAUAAGCACCGGCUAACUUCGUGCCAGCAGCCGCGGUAAUACGAAGGGUGCAAGCGUUAAUCGGAAUUACUGGGCGUAAAGCGCGCGUAGGUGGUUUUGUAAGUUGGAGGUGAAAUCCCCGGGCACAACCUGGGAACUGCCUCCAAAACUGCAUGACUAGAGUACGGUAGAGGGUAGUGGAAUUUCCUGUGUAGCGGUGAAAUGCGUAGAUAUAGGAAGGAACACCAGUGGCGAAGGCGACUACCUGGACUGAUACUGACACUGAGGUGCGAAAGCGUGGGGAGCAAACAGGAUUAGAAACCCCAGUAGUCC